UGAGGAACAUGACCUUCGGCGGGGGAGUAGCCGGCCCAACGGCCGGGUAAUACCGCGUACGACCACUUUGGGACAUCCCUAGGUGGUGAAAGCAGCAAUGCGCCGAUGGAGUGCCUCGCGGCCUAUCAGCUAGUUGGUGAGGUAACGGCUCACCAAGGCGACGACGGGUAGCUGGUCUGGAGGGGAUGGCCAGCCACAUUGGGACUGAGACACGGCCCAGACCUACCGUACGGGAA
rnacentral:rRNA from 1 species